ensembl:misc_RNA Y_RNA Y RNA
GACUGGUCCGAAGGCAGUAAGUUAUCUCGAUUGUUCAAUUACAGAUCAAGCUCCUAUUCUAUUCUUUCUAGUUCUGACUACUACACUUCACUAGUCUUAA